ensembl:lncRNA
GGCUCUACCUCCAUGGCAUUGGAUGCACUUGCAUAGAGUGCACUGGGCCUGAGUCCAAAAGUGCAGGGCUUGUGCUCUUGAAGAGUCAGGAGUCUUGGAGCAGCCCCUGGGAUGAGUGGAAAUGCAUCGGGGAGUACGAACAAAGGAUCCAAUUCAGGAAAGUCGAAUUUCUGGUCUAAAUGCUGGCUCGGGAGAGACGAAGGUUGAAAGUCAUGCAUCCUCCGAUACACAACCCAACCAAGCCACACUGCUUCUUAACACAGCACGCAUCCAACCCGGAAGCCAGCCGCACUAAUGUGUCAGAGGAAACACUGUGCACCUGGCAACCUUGGUUAGCGUGCACUGCGCCCAGCCCACCACAAGAGUCGCUGGUGCGCGAUGAGACAAGGAUAUCCCUACCGGCCAAGCCCUCCCUAACCCGGAUGACGCUUUGCCAAUUGUGCAUCGCCCCAUGGACCUCCCAGUCGUGGCCGGUUACGACAGAGACUGGGCGUGCACCUAGAGUCUCUGGUGGCACAGCUGGCACUGGAGUACAGCACCCUUAACCACUGCACCACCCGGGAGAACCCAUC